AAGAAUCCACAAGUUCCCCCACGUUAAUGGUAAAUUGAGAGGUCUCUUUUAAUUCUAAAGCAAGAUCCAAAAUAUCAGUUUUAGAGCGUGUAUUGGCUUGCCUAAAAAACAAUCUGUAUGGUAUUUCAUUAGAGAAAAUUGGAAGGGUAGUAUCCAAAGGGAGUUAGGAGGGUGAGAGAGAAGAGGGAGUAACUAUAGGAAGUGACAUAAGGGUAGAGAAUUUGGAAGAAGGGGAGGUGGGUGGGAUGGUUCCUAAUCAAAUUUUCAAGGGCCCUUUGACUCUUUGCUAGGGCGGGUAAUGUCAUGGAGGUGAUAAUACCUCGCGAUUGGGUCUUGGCGGCUUAUUAUGGUUUUGCUUCGUCUGAAUGAGCUUGCUAGAGGAGGUGGCGAGAGCUGUGAAGUUGCUGCAUGGUGAAAGUUUUAGAGUAAAAAACUUGUGGUUCAGAAGGCUUGUUUUGGACUAGAGAUAAAGAAUAGGGAAGGGGAGAGGGAUGGGAAACAAAAUAGAGGAGAACAAAGGGCAAAAGUAGGAAGGAGAGCAGGGGGAGCUUCAAAGAGAGAAAGGGUAUCCAACAAUGUCCGGAGAGAAGGCUCUAUCUCCUUCAGAGAUGCAAUGGUUGGGAAGAAGCAUGUGUAGCAAUCGAUGGGGGAGGGGAGAACAGAGGAGGUGAAGUGGAUAGGGACGGAGGAUUCCAAUGAAGGUCAUGUGGUUUGCAUCAGGUUGGAAGUGAUAGACAAGGCCCGGAGUAUGCUUGUAACGUUUGAAGAUGCCACCAUUUCCUAGAACAAGAGAUGGGUGGAAGAUUUUUGUGGUUUGGCAGAUGUUGAUUACACUGUUAAACCAAUCUAGUCAAAAGAGGCUUGGAUAUGUGUUUGUCCUGAGUUGAACUUAGAUCAAGCGUUGAUUGUCGGAGCCAUUUUCAGGGAUAGAUCAAUUAAGUAGAUAAGAAAAUGGUCGGAGCGUUCUUUUUUGGUAGUGAAGGGGUAUGGUUCUUAAUUUGGGGAAUCCCUUUAGAGCUUUGGUUUCGAGAAGUAUUUGUAGCAGUUAGCUUAUGUCUAGGUGAAGUAGUAGCGAUCAACGUCGCAAUGGAAGAUGGGGAUGAGCUUAGGGUAGCUCGGGUUUGUGUGAAGAAGAAGGGAGCUAUGACAAGUCCAAAAGCUGUGAAAAUUGCCGUCGAGGAUGUGAGAUUAGAGUUAAGGGUUGAGAGAGGAAAAAUGGGGGUAACCACUUAGAUGGGCGGAAAUCUGGAUGAGAUAGGAAUCCAAAAAUCCAGUCGGAAGCCAUGGAUGCCAGCAAGGGAGACAGAGCAUGUUUAAGUUGCUCUAGCGGUAUUGGACGAAGGGCCUCUUGUGUGCAAGCUUUCCAUUGGUGGAAAGUAAGUGGGUGAGGGAGAAUGCCGGAUCGACAUGUGGGGGAGAGGUCUGUGGGAGCAUCAUAAAUGCAUCCCACCUCUCCGAACCUUCCAAUGGCUAUAGGCUCCGCUUUCGAACCUAUCUUUUUCUCACCACGUGCCUUGUUGGUGGUAUCCUCGGGUGACGUGGCAAUUGGAGAGAGGGGGGUUUGCUUAAGGAAUCACAUCGAUGGUCCAUUCAAGGAUCGAUUUUAAUGCAGAUAGUGGAGAAGUCUUGGUGGUCGGUCCACAUGUGGCAUCAAGAUGGUUGCAGUAUAGCUACUGGAACUCAUGUUAUGUCGACACUUGGAGAGGAUGGGACACAAGCCUCUCUUGCUCUCAUUCUAUCCCUAACGCGCGUGGAGGAAACACAUUCUUUGUCACGAGUGCUUAAUAGGCACAACUUAGUAGAUCUUCCUUUGGGCAAUGCAAAAUACACAUGGUUCAACGGUCAAGAGAAUGCUAUUCUCUCGUGGCUAGAUAGAUUCUUGGUAUCUGUGGUUUGACUUGAGAAAUUCUCGAUGGUUAGCCAAUUUCUGAUUGUCGCCCAAUCAUGCUAGAGGUGGUUGAAGAGAAUUGAGGCUUAAAGCCUUUUAGGUUCAAGCUAGCUUGGUUGGAAAUUGAUGGUUACGAGCGCUUAUAGCUGGUUGGGGGGCCCCUUUGGUAGUAGAAGGUUUUGCUGGAUUAGGAUAUGUCGAAAAUUCAAGCUUUUGAAAGAUAAGAUUAAAGAUUAGAAGAAGGAUGCGCUUGGUGCUUGAGAGGCAGAAUUUGAUAGAAUAGUGAAGGAUAUUCAUGAUUUGGACUUAGUAGAGGAGGUCAAUGGUUUAUCAGUAGAAGAAAGAGAUAAGAGAGUAGCCUUAUAUUUGAGUUAUGCUAAAAAGAAGAGGAAAUUAAGUGGUGUUAGAGAUCAAGAGCAGUGUGGCUUAAAAGAGUUAUAAAUACUCGCUUUUUUCACAGCAUAGCGAGGCUCAGGCGCAUGGAAAUAGGGUUAAUAGUUUGGUUGUGGACGGGUUGAGGAUUGCGGAUAUGGGAUAGAUAUGAGAUUCUAUCAUUAAAUUCUACAAGAAGUUGUUAACUUGUGACUAAUGGAACAAGCCGCGGCUUGAUAAUGUAUAUUUCCAAAAGUUGUCGAGUGAGGACGCUGCUUCUCUUGAAACGCCGAUAUCAGAGGAAGAAGUUAAAGCCACCCUUUAUUCAAUGUGUGGAGAUAAGGCCCCUAGACUUGAUGGUUUUCCCAUGUUUUUCUUUAAGAGAUUUUGGCAAAUUGAUCAAAAGAGAUGUGAUGGAAUUUAUUUCAGAGUUCUUCAAGUAAAGUAGUCUAUCAAAUGAUCUCGGGGCAUCAUUUAUAGCUCUUAUUCCUCUAAAAUAGACGGGGUGAAGCAGUUAAAAGACUUUAGGUCCAUUAGUCUUAUCGGGAGCCCUUAUAAAAAUUCUUGUCAAAGUCCUUGCCUUAAGAUUUCAUGGAGUUUUUUUGAAGAUUAUUGCCGAGAAUCAAGGACCCUUUGUUGCUGAAAGAUAGAUUUUGGAAAGUGCUCGUAUUACUCAUGAAUGCAUCGACUCCAGAAACUGGGAGAGGAAAAGUGGGAUAGUUUGCAAGCUUGACAAUAGAAAGGCUUACAAUCAUGUGGAUUGGAAGUUCUUAGAUUGUAUGCUUGAUAGAUUGUGUUAUGGUCGAAAGUAGAGAGGGGUAGGAUUUGGUCAUGCGUGCAAUUCACCUUUUCUAUCUUGGUCAAUGGGUCGCCAAAAGGUUUCCUCAAGGUGUUCAAGGGUCUUAGACAAGGGGAUCCUUUUUCUCAUUACUUCUUCAUUGUAAUUGGGGAGGCGGUUAGCAAGAUGCUUUAUAAAGGGGGAGGAGAAUGGUUUAAUUAGUGGUUUCAAGGUUUCUGACGAUGAGAUUCAAAUAAGCCAUCUCCAAUAUGCAGAUGAUACUCUUUUGUUUUGUGAUGUGGAUGUGGUCUUAGUGGGUAAUUGUUGGAAAGUUACUGUAUGCUUUGAAGCAGUUUCGGGGCUAAAGAUCAACGUGGCAAAAAGUGAAAUGUUGGGAAUUCAUGUGACCGAUGAGGACUUAUCAUGUUUCGCGACUGUUUUUGGCUGUAAGAAGGGGGUGGUCCUCUCGGCGUAUUUAGGGUUGCCCCUUUGUAUCAAGAAGCGAACAAAUCACCUUUGGGCUAAGGUAUUGAAAGAUUUGAGGGGAAGUUAUCGAGGUGGAAGUGCCGAUAUCUUUUCUUGGGAGGUUGGUUGACUCUCAUUAAAGUGACUUUCUCUCAUAUUCCACUGUUCUUCACAUGUCUCUUCAAAUGUGCUAAAUCGGUGUUGGACAAACUAACAAAGUCGAGAAGAGAUUUUUCUAGAAAGGGCCAAGGAAGAAAGGAAGUUCAUCUUCUCAGAUCGGAAGAGGUGUGCAAGCCGAUUGUUGUAGGUGGAGUUGGUUUAAAAAAUUUGGGAUCCAUGAACUUGACGCUUCUUGUGAAAUGGCAUUGGAGAUUCAGAAUCGAAUUGGGUAGAUUAUGGAGGGAGAUUAUAGUUAGCAAGUAUGGAAUGGAAGUUGGUAUGUGAAGAUCUCCUCUCUACUGAGCCUGUAGUCUUUGGAAAGUGAUAGCGUCGACGGAGCAUAUGUUUUGUAGAGGGAUCGCCUUUUUUGCUUGUGAAUGGGCAUCAUAUCCGUUUCUAGGUGGAUGUUUGGUGUGGAGAUUGGGCGCUUUAAGAUCUUUUUCCAAGAAUGUCUUGCCUCACUCUGGAUUGGUUCAUCUUUGUAGUAUGUUGUUAUUCUCUUUCCGGUGGUUCUGUCAUUUGGAAUCCUCCUUUUUGUAGGAAUAUGGAGGCAAGGUAUCCCGUAUCGGUAUCGGUUGGCGUAACGGUGCCCUCCGAUAUGGAUACGGAUAUGGGGGUGUAACGGCGAUACGGGGGCGUAACGGUGCAAAUUUUAUUUUAUUUUUUGCCAAAAAAAUAUGGAUUAAAUUCGGAAUAUUCUAAGCAUUCCAAAUAUGCAUUCAUUUGUAAAUUGGAACAUGUUUAUGGUGGUGUAACGGUCCACUCUUUAGUGAGAAGUUGUAUCGGACUGUUUGAUGAAUUUAUGAACCAGACAACCUGGAUUUGACUGCAAAACUAAUAUAUUUAAUUUUCUAACUAUCUACCAUCAAUGAUAGAUAUAUUAGAAUGAAUGUAAUAUGAAAAUAUCUUACAUGUGUAGGUGUUUGCAAUUAUUUUUCGUAAUUUAU